CAAGGGAGCUUGACUGUGAGACUUACCAGUCGAGCAGGUACGAAAGUAGGGCUUAGUGAUCCGGUGGUUCCGCAUGGAAGGGCCAUCGCUCAACGGACAAAAGCUACCCUGGGGAUAACAGGCUUAUCUCCCCCAACGAGUCCACAUCGACGGGGAGGUUUGGCACCUCGAUGUCGGCUCAUCGCAUCCUGGGGCUGUAGUCGGUCCCAAGGGUUGGGCUGUUCGCCCAUUAAAGCGGUACGCGAGCUGGGUUCAGAACGUCGUGAGACAGUUCGGUCCCUAUCCGUCGCGGGCGUAGGAAAUUUGAGAGGAGCUGCCCUUAGUACGAGAGGACCGGGGUGGACGUACCUCUGGUGUAUCAGUUGUUCCGCCAGGAGCAUCGCUGAGUAGCUAUGUACGGAUGAGAUAAACGCUGAAAGCAUCUAAGUGUGAAACUCGCCUCGAGAUGAGAUUUCCCAUUCUUUAUGAAGUAAGACCCCUCAGAGAUGAUGAGGUAGAUAGGCUAGAAGUGGAAGUGCGGCGACGCAUGGAGCGGACUAGUACUAAUGGUUCGAGGACUUAACCAAGUU
rnacentral:rRNA from 1 species